rnacentral:rRNA from 1 species
CAGCAGGCGCGAAAACUUUGCAAUGCGGGAAACCGUGACAAGGGAACUCUGAGUGCCCGUUAAAUCGGGCUGUCCAUCGGUUAAACAACCGGUGAAGAAAGGGCCGGGCAAGACCGGUGCCAGCCGCCGCGGUAAUACCGGCGGCUCGAGUGGUGGCCACUAUUACUGGGCUUAAAGCGUUCGUAGCUGGUUUGUUAAGUCUCUGGGGAAAUCUUCCGGCUCAACCGGAAGGCGUCUCAGGGAUACUGGCAGACUAGGGACCGGGAGAGGUGAGAGGUACUCCAGGGGUAGGAGUGAAAUCCUGUAAUCCUUGGGGGACCACCUGUGGCGAAGGCGUCUCACCAGAACGGCUCCGACAGUGAGGGACGAAAGCUGGGGGAGCAAACCGGAUUAGAUACCCGGGUAGUCCCAGCUGUAAACGAUGCGCGUUAGGCGUAUCGGUGACCACGAGUCACCGAGGUGCCGAAGAGAAAUCGUGAAACGUGCCGCCUGGGAAGUACGGUCGCAAGGCUGAAACUUAAAGGAAUUGGCGGGGGAGCAC